rnacentral:rRNA from 1 species
AUUGAGCGCUGGCGGCAGGCCUAACACAUGCAAGUCGAACGGUAACAGGAAGCAGCUUGCUGCUUCGCUGACGAGUGGCGGACGGGUGAGUAAUGUCUGGGAAGCUGCCUGAUGGAGGGGGAUAACUACUGGAAACGGUAGCUAAUACCGCAUAAUGUCGCAAGACCAAAGAGGGGGACCUUCGGGCCUCUUGCCAUCGGAUGUGCCCAGAUGGGAUUAGCUUGUUGGUGGGGUAACGGCUCACCAAGGCGACGAUCCCUAGCUGGUCUGAGAGGAUGACCAGCCACACUGGAACUGAGACACGGUCCAGACUCCUACGGGAGGCAGCAGUGGGGAAUAUUGCACAAUGGGCGCAAGCCUGAUGCAGCCAUGCCGCGUGUAUGAAGAAGGCCUUCGGGUUGUAAAGUACUUUCAGCGGGGAGGAAGGGAGUAAAGUUAAUACCUUUGCUCAUUGACGUUACCCGCAGAAGAAGCACCGGCUAACUCCGU